rnacentral:rRNA from 1 species
CCGGCACGGGUGAGUAACACGUAUCCAACCUGCCGUCUACUCUUGGCCAGCCUUCUGAAAGGAAGAUUAAUCCAGGAUGGCAUCAUGAGUUCACAUGUCCGCAUGAUUAAAGGUAUUUUCCGGUGGACGAUGGGGAUGCGUUCCAUUAGAUAGUAGGCGGGGUAACGGCCCACCUAGUCAACGAUGGAUAGGGGUUCUGAGAGGAAGGUCCCCCACAUUGGAACUGAGACACGGUCCAA